AAAAACUUACCUUAUUUUCAUGACCAUGCUUCUAAGGUUCUUUCCUUCUUAUUUCAUGAUAAAGGUAGUUGAAUUGCUGAUUUUAAUUAAUCUUAUUUCAAUGCCUGAUAACAGUUGAUUUUACGUGUUUGUGUGUGUAUAUUUUGUGAACAAAUCAACUCCUUCAUAGCUUUUACCUUGUUUUAUCCUCACGUUUAGUGUGUUUUCUAGUUUUCUUGUGUUUUAUUUAGUAUAUGCUUGUUUUUACCUUUAAUCUCUACGUUUGAGUGUGUGAAAUAAAUGAAUAGGAAGCAAUUCUAGUGGAGGAAAACAUGCAAGAACUCAAGGGAACAUGUUUUGGGACCAUAAAAGAUCAAUUUGAAGCAAAUACCCAUGUUGGACGCCUUCGGAAUCGCGCAAGAGCCUGAAUUUUAGAAUGCUGUCAAAGCUGUCCGGGCUGGGCG
rnacentral:lncRNA from 1 species